GAUGAACGCUGGCGGCGUGCUUAACACAUGCAAGUCAAACGAUGAACCCCGCUUGCGGGGGGAUUAGUGGCGAACGGGUGAGUAACACGUGAGUAACCUGCCCUUAACUCUGGGAUAAGCCUUGGAAACGAGGUCUAAUACUGGAUAUUGACUUUACCUCGCAUGGGGUUUGGUUGAAAGAUUUAUUGGUUUUGGAUGGACUCGCGGCCUAUCAGCUUGUUGGUGAGGUAAUGGCUCACCAAGGCGACAACGGGUAGCCGGCCUGAGAGGGUGACCGGCCACACUGGGACUGAAACACGGCCCAAACUCCUACGGGAGGCAGCAGUGGGGAAUAUUGCACAAUGGGCGAAAGCCUGAUGCAGCGACCCCGCGUGAGGGAUGACGGCCUUCGGGUUGUAAACCUCUUUCAGUAGGGACGAAGCGAAAGUGACGGUACCUACAGAAAAAGGACCGGCCAACUACGUG
rnacentral:rRNA from 1 species